AGACCGCGCCCCGCCCCAGGGCGCCGAGAGACCGAAGGGUCCGGUCCCGGCUUCUCCGGGACCUCCCGCGGCCGCACCGCGCCCCGUGCCCGGCGCUGGGGCGGACAGCGAGGCUCGGGCCUGCUCCCGGGUGUAGGUUUCAAGUGUCCAGCUCAGUAAAACGUCAUCUGCACACUGCAUCGUGGGUCCAUCACCUCAAGCAAAGUGUUCGUCCCCAUUUCCUCCCCUUUGUCUACUUCCAAGUCCCUGCUUCUAGUGGGAUGUGGCAGAGCUGUUACUGAGCUGUGUGAUUCUGGCUCCCCCAUGUCAGCCCACUGCAUCUCACUCCAAUUCACUUCUCAUUUUUUCCAGUGUCUAAUGCAAGGCACUGCCAGAUGCUGAGAACAAUACAUACACGCAAAAGACUUGAUUCUCACUCUUAAGGAACGUGUACUGUCUGAUGGCAGGAUUUCUAUAGUAUAUCUAGUAUGAGUUCCACUUCUUGGUCUCUUAUCCAACUUCAGCAGUCUCAUCUCCAUCGUCUGGAGAAUAAAUGGGAUAUUUGCAUGAAUUCCAGACUCUGAACUGAAAUAGACUGCAGUGUUCAUAUUCUUUUGUUGUUAUUAUUAACAGCUCCUCAGAAAAUUAAAUGUCGGCAGAAGACCGAGAAGCUCAGGAGGAUGAAUUGCUGGCCCUGGCGAGUAUUUAUGAUGGAGAUGAAUUUAGAAAAGCAGAGUCUGUCCAAGGUGGAGAAACGAGGAUCUAUUUGGACUUGCCACAGAAUUUCAAGAUAUUUGUGAGCGGCAAUUCAAAUGAGUGUCUCCAGAAUAGUGGCUUUGAAUACACCAUUUGCUUUCUGCCUCCACUUGUGCUGAACUUUGAACUGCCACCAGAUUAUCCAUCCUCCUCCCCACCUUCAUUCACACUUAGUGGCAAAUGGCUGUCACCAACUCAGCUGUCUGCUCUCUGCAAGCACCUAGACAACCUGUGGGAAGAGCACCGUGGCAACGUGGUCCUGUUUGCCUGGAUGCAGUUUCUUAAGGAAGAGACCCUGGGGUACCUGAAUAUUGUCUCUCCUUUCGAACUCAAGAUCGGUUCUCAGAAAAAAUUGCAGAGAAGGACGGCUCAAGCCUCUGGCAACACAGAGCUAGAUUGUAGAGGAGCCGCUGGAUCCGCUCUAGACCAAGAGGAAGCUGUGGAUGAGAGAGCCGUGCAGGAUGUGGAGUCAUUGUCCAAUCUGAUCCAGGAAAUCUUGGACUUUGAUCAAGCUCAGCAGAUAAAGUGCUUCAAUAGUAAAUUGUUCCUGUGCAAUAUCUGUUUCUGUGAGAAGCUGGGUAGUGAAUGCAUGCACUUCUUGGAGUGCAGGCAUGUGUACUGCAAAGCCUGUCUGAAGGACUACUUUGAGAUCCAGAUCAAAGAUGGCCAAGUUCAAUGCCUCAACUGCCCAGAACCCAAGUGCCCUUCAGUGGCUACUCCUGGUCAGGUCAAAGAGCUAGUAGAAGCAGAGUUAUUUGCCCGUUAUGAUCGGCUUCUUCUCCAGUCUACCUUGGACCUGAUGGCAGAUGUGGUGUACUGCCCCCGUCCAUGCUGCCAAUUGCCUGUGAUGCAGGAGCCUGGCUGUACCAUGGGCAUCUGCUCCAGCUGCAAUUUUGCCUUCUGUACCUUAUGCAGAUUGACCUACCAUGGCGUCUCUCCAUGUAAGCUCACUGCAGAAAAAUUAAUAGACUUACAAAAUGAGUACCUGCAAGCAGAUGAGGACAGUAAAAGAUUUCUGGAACAGAGGUAUGGUAAGAGGGUGAUUCAGAAGGCACUGGAAGAAAUGGAAAGUAAAGAGUGGCUAGAAAAGAACUCAAAGAACUGCCCAAACUGUGGAACUCCCAUAGAGAAAUUAGAUGGAUGUAACAAGAUGACAUGUACUGGUUGUAUGCAAUAUUUCUGUUGGAUUUGCAUGGGUUCUCUCUCUAGAGCAAACCCUUAUAAACAUUUCACUGAUCCUGCUUCCCUGUGUUUUAACCGGUUGUUCUAUGCUGUGGAUGUUGAUGAAGAUAUUUGGGAAGAUGAGAUUGAAGAAGACUAGUUCAUUCCUACUGCUCCAGACGCAGAAGUGAAAUGUAAGUGAAAAAGAUGUACAGUUGCUGAUUGUGACUUCCUGCAGAGAGGCUGUGAGAGUGACUCCAGGGUGGCAUCCUCGUCGCACACAAACACAGUGCGGGGGUGCUGCUGGAAGGCAGACACGGUCCACAUGUGGUUCACUCCCUCCUCAAUGGCUUUGUACAGAGCAAACGCCUUGUGAGCACCUGUGAUGAGGAUCAUCACCUGGGGAUCAGAGAACAAGCCCAUGACAGAGGAGGAGCAGCGGAACCGGAAGUCCAGGCACUUGAACUCUAGUGUGGCCAUCCCAAACAGCUAUAAGGAAUACCGUUCUAUUGUAUAUACCAUCGUAAGUCUUAACCUUGCAGCUCCAGGCUCUCCCUAUGCUAUCACACAAGUUGCCUGAGCAGGGAGCAUCGUUACUCCUUGUCCUAUAAGGAAAUGGGCCAAGGUUAAGUGACUUGCCCCAGGUCAUUUCUGACCCUAAGUGCAUGUUCUUGACACUCCAUAGUGCCUCCUGGCCCCUUUGAUGGUGGCUGCAAGUGCCCUGUGAACAGAUGUGCCCUACAAAGGCCCACUCUUACCCCAACAGUUGUGACACUGGUUCUAGGAGGUCCUAGGUGAGUGAGUUUUCACAUCACAAAAAGGUGAGUCCCAAUCCCUCAGGGAGCCUUGGAAGCAGUGCUGAGAGUCAUCCCAACAAGGCUGCCACUUAAUCUAGUCACUUUCAGUUCUGAGUAUUAGACCGACUAAUGUGACUUGGGUAAUGCUUUUUGUUUAAAUGAAACAAAGGCCAAGAAUCAACAGUUGAAAUACCAAGAAAGCAAGUAGUAGACAGUGAUCAUAAAGAACUCAGCUCUAUAGAUUUCCUUUGUAAUUCACUUGCACCAUGGAAUUGUGAACAGGGUUUACUGUUCCCUUUCUUUUUACUUUUUAAAUGUGUUUUUGAUUUUAGAGAGAAAGGAAGGGGGAGAGAGAAAUAUGGAUAUGAGAGAGAAACAUUGAUCAGUUGUCUCCCCCGGGACUGAACCCAAAUCGUGGGCAUGUACCCUGACCAGGAAUAGAACCAGCAACCUUUUGGUACAGAGGAUAAUGCUCAACCAACUAAGCCACACCAGCCAGAGCUACUAUUCCUUAAAAGGUGAGGUAAAAGAGAGCACAGAAAAUAUGGCUCUUUGUUCAGAAUUCCAGAUCUAAUUUUAGAAGAGAGAAUUUCCUGAUAUCCAGUCCAGGCUCUUUCUCAGAUUAGCAUUCACUGACACAGGGCGGUUUGCAAGCCACAAGGCCAAGAACAGCAGAGUGACCCUGGGUGCCGACGUGAAGUGCCCAACAGAAACCUGGCGCCAUUGCACUUUCACAAGCGUUCACCUGAGACUUAGAUGUGUGUUUACAGACCUAGGCAAAGAAGCUUAAAGUUAAAAUGUCUAGCUGCUUCCCACUAAAUACAACCCAGGAAGAAAAAAUGCUCCCAAAAUUCUAAGGAGGUAGAGGCAGAGUUCCACAAUUGUCAACAAGAAUACAGGCGCUCCCAAAUUCUGUCCUAGAACUGAAAUCAACUCUUGCUUCCUGUGCGGCUCCACAUGAUAACCACACUAAGCAUAGGAGAGAAAUUGUUAUUCCCAAUAAAUGCUGGAAUCCACAGGACUUUUGUAAACCCAGUCUCCAGGAGUUAGCCAUUAAGAUAAUCUUUUCAGCAAGGAACAAAUUCCUAAUUUGCUCAGUAAAAGGAUUUUCAUACAAGUUUGCUUAAAGCAGUGUGUCCUUUUAAAGUGAAAGAACAAGAGCCUCAGGACAGCUCAGUGCCUUUUCUACAGAGAAAGGCCUGUGAGAGCAGGGCCACACAAAAAAUUCAAAUGUUACCCAACUUCCUAGGAAAAAAAGUACUAAAUUCAGUUUAGGACACUUAUAUUUCCCACUCAGGGCUACACUAAACUACCAACACCCUGGAGCUAUAGGAGCUCCCUUCAAACAGUGGCCCCAUCUGCAGGGAAGCAGAGGUCCAUCUUGAUACCUGGGCAGGUGCAGACUCACUCAGACACCAGCACUGCUGGGCUCCUGCCUGAGCAGCUCGGAAGGGUUAUAUGCCCAGGCCAGGGAGCCUGCGGUCUCCUAGGCAGUCCUCACACUGAAUAAUGGUUCCUUCCCAAAGAGGAAGGAGGAACACCGACAGGGUCAGUUGGGAUUUUAUCCUCAUAAUAUCUUCAUUUUUAAUACAAAUAUAUUUAGGUGGUA